CACACGUACAGGCUCUGAGGGACCAGGAGAGGUUCUCUCUGCUUUCGGGUAGUGCUUUCCGCUGUAAGCUGCCCACCACGGCCUUUAAUAAGAAGGGCGGAUAAGUGGACGGAUGGAUGGGAGGACUGAGGGGGCUUCUUGCAUUUUACGACAGCAGAUUCAGAUCUGAGCACUGGGCCGGGGGCCCCUAACCACACGCAGAACAGCACCCCAUUCUUCCCGCACGUCGCUGCCGACCAACUGCUCAACUGGACUCUGACAGUUCCUCCAUGGUGGUCAUGAUCUUUCCGGCUGCCAUUCCAGGGGGAGGGGUCCGAGCACCUCAGCGUCCACGCCAAGCCAGCACAGUGCAGUGGUCUCAGCCCGGCCCGUGGCCACCCCCG
rnacentral:lncRNA from 1 species